rnacentral:lncRNA from 1 species
UUUUUUUUUUUUUUUUUUUUUUUUAAACAAUUUAACUCCACCAAAAGAAAAAUUGAGGAAUCUGAAAAAUAUUGCCCCAAAAUCACCAUUAUCCAAAUAAUCCCUUUUCUAUUAGCACUGGAGGAUCCUGCCACACUCCCUCAGCCUCUUCCACCCCUCUCAUCCUCCUGCUUUUUCCCUGCUCACCUCCCGCACCUUUUAUUUUCACCCAAGGGGAUCCUGCCCCAAAUGAAAGGACAGAUUUUUUUUUAAGGUUCUUUUCUCAUUUUUCCCUUUAUGGGUGCAUUUUCUGAGCCCUAUCUCAGGAGCUUUUCCCGUGGCUGAGGCCCCGCUUGCCCCUUGCAGGAUGACUGCUUCUACCAGGGGUUCGUGGAGGGCUCCCCAGGCUCCAUCGUCUCCGUCAGCACGUGCUUUGGGAUCAGCGGAGUGCUGCAGUUCGGAGACCUGAGGUACGAGAUCCAGCCGGUGGAGAACUCCUCCAGCUUCCAGCACCUCAUUUUCCGAAAGGCGCUGGCAGGAGGCUCGCCCCCGCUCUGCCGGGUGCCCAGGGAGCACCAGGACCUGGGCACAGGGGGAGAAAUCGCAAACGGGAGCAGGAAAAUCCUGGUUAUUGAGGAGGUCCCCGGGCUGCAGAGCCUGCCCGUGCCCACCCGGUACCUGGAAUUGGCUCUCGUCGCCAACCAGGAGCUGUUCAAAGCUA